rnacentral:rRNA from 1 species
CCCUUAGAUGUCCGGGGCUGCACGCGCGCUACACUGAAUGAAUCAGCGUGCUAGAAAACCUUGUUUGACAUGGCUAGGUAACCCAUUGAAAAUCAUUCGUGAUUGGGAUCGGGACUUGCAAAUGUGUCCCUUGAACGAGGAAUUCCCAGUAAGUGCGGGUCAUCAGCUCGCGUUGAUUACGUCCCUGCCCUUUGUACACACCGCCCGUCGCUACUACCGAUUGAACGGUUUAGUGAGGCCCUCGGACGUGCCCCGGGCUGGCGGGACACCGCCGGUCGCUGGUUGUUGCGCCGAAGACGGUCGAACUUGAUCAUUUAGAGGAAGUAAAAGUCGUAACA